rnacentral:tRNA from 1 species
AGAGGCCUUAGCUUAAUUAAAGCGAUUGUGUUGCAGGCAGUAGAUGUAGGUAAAGAUUCUGCAGGUCUU